rnacentral:lncRNA from 1 species
AUCCAGAUCAUCAAGACUGCGACGGUGGACUUCAAGCUGUGCAAGAGGGACAACACGAAGCAGUUCCACAACUCCAAGAUCAAGUUCCCGCUGGUGUACCAGAAGGUGCGCCCACCCACCCGCAAGCUCAAGACCACCUACAAGGCGACGAGGCCCAACCUGUUCAUGUGAUCGGGUCCCUACUCUACUGGUCUGUGCUGUGUUUUAGCGUGUAAGAGUUUGAAGAUUUUUGCAUGUGGAAGUUUUGGUUAAGCACUUUGAUGAUGUUUUCAGUCGCUAAGGAUGAUGCUGCUUUGAUGCAACUCUUGACUUUGUUUGGUAUUAGUAAUGCGCAGCGGAUCCAUUGUUGCUUCAGUAUGUUUCGCUACCUGGUAGCGUCAACUGCUAGCCCUCAGCUGCUAUGUGGUUUGGUCUGCUUUCAAAUGCAGAUGUCAAGUCUGAUACCUGAAAUUAUUCCGUGCGCCCACCCUUUUCGGGCUGUUUGUUAGUGAAUGUAGACUGAAAUCAGGUUCAGGAACGUCUCUAUAUACACAUCUUAUUCAGAGGGAGCAGUAGUAAGUAGGUA